rnacentral:rRNA from 1 species
GAUGAACGCUGGCGGCGUGCCUAAUACAUGCAAGUCGUACGGAAAGGCCCUUCGGGGUACUCGAGUGGCGGACGGCUGAGUAACGCGUGGGAACGUGCCCCACAGUGAGGGAUAACUCACUGAAAGGUGUGCUAAUACCGCAUAUGGUCUUCGGAUUAAAGCUUCGGCGCUUUGGGAGCGGCCCGCGUACGAUUAGAUAGUUGGUGAGGUAAUGGCUCACCAAGUCGACGAUCGUUAGUUGGUCUGAGAGGAUGAUCAGCCAGACUGGGACUGAGACACGGCCCAGACUCCUACGGGAGGCAGCAGUAAGGAAUCUUCCACAAUGGGGGCAAACCUGAUGGAGCAACGCCGCGUACAGGAUGAAGGUUUUCGGAUCGUAAACUGCUUUUAUAAGUGAAGAAUAUGACGGUAACUUAUGAAUAAGGAUCGGCUAACUACGUGCCAGCCGCCGCAGUAA